rnacentral:rRNA from 1 species
AUGAUUGAAAAAUUAGAUGCAAAAAGAAAAGGACAAGAUUUAAGAUUCAAAAGAUAUUAUAGUAUAGAUGAUGCCUUACUUUGGGCAAGAAAGGUAUUAGGACCAGAUUAUCAUACUGACCCAAUGGCUAAAGACUAUAUCCAAAUGAGAAGAGGCAUACCUGCUUCACCAACUCCCACAAAGGGGGAGGCAUCAAGCUCAAAAAAUAUAAAGAAGGAAGAGUAUCCAAAAUAUAAGACAUAUCUAGAAUGCCUUCUAAAGGGGCUUGACCCUUUAGACAGCGAAUACAUAGAUCAAGAGAUGGAUAAAAGAUUUGAAGAAUUUUCAAAAAUAGUAAAGAAAGAAUUGAAAGAAGAAAUAUUAAAAGAAUUAAGGCAUGAAAUGGACGAAAAUUUUGAAGAAAUAAAGAAAGAAUGCGAUCAAAAAUAUGAUUUCAAUCUGUUAAACGAUGAUGAUGAUCAUAUGGACAUAGCAGGGCAUGGGUAG